GCCAACAGGAUUACGAGCUUGUAGUCUGAUCUUUUCAGAUCUCAGAAGUUAAGCAAGAAUGGGCCUGGUAAGUACUGGGAUGAGAGACCUCCAAGCAAAACCAGGUUGCUGCUGCAG
rnacentral:rRNA from 1 species